rnacentral:rRNA from 1 species
AGUGAACGCUGGCGGCAGGCCUAACACAUGCAAGUCGAACGGCAGCACAGGAGAGCUUGCUCUCUGGGUGGCGAGUGGCGGACGGGUGAGGAACGCGUCGGAAUCUGCCUAUUUGUGGGGGAUAACGUAGGGAAACUUACACUAAUACCGCAUACGACCUACGGGUGAAAGUGGGGGACCGCAAGGCCUCACGCAGAUAG